rnacentral:lncRNA from 1 species
GACCAAUUAGGGUUUCAAUGUCAAUUUCAAGUUGGGAAACUUAGUCGAUUUUUGAGAAAACCAUCUAUUGCAUCCAGCCAUUUGAUCAGUUGGGGUUUUGACCCGUGCUUCACUGAAAAAAUUUGGUCAACGAAUUCCAAUCUCUUCGAUAGGAAGUUCGUCAAGGUCAAACCUGUGCGUUUUUGCAAAUUCUUGUAUCGAUCAAAAGUGAUCAAUCCCUUUGGACGAUGUCCUCAUUUUGACAAACGUCUCUUCUCACUCUAAUUGACCAAAUUUUUCAAAAAUUAUUUCUCACUCAAUGAGUUGAUCAGAUUCAUCAGGUAUUGUAUAGUGCCUAUCCUAGAGGAUUGCAUUUUCAUGCUAGGCCUACCCUUGCACAAAAAGGGUCCCCCAUAGGACAUGCAUACCGGUUUUAUAUUCUUGUUUACUAACUCUGGGUAUUUUUCUUUGUUUUCCCCCUCCCCUGCAUUCAUAAAAAACACUUCAAUAAAAGGGAAAAUAUUUUUCUAUAUCUGAUGACACUUCUGAUCUAAUAAGGUGUCAAAAUUGCAAGUAUUGUGUGAUUCUUGGCAGAUCCUACAAUGAAAAAUAAAGAUCUAUCUGGAAGCUCUACGCUAAAAGCAUCUGAGAGAUUUUGUAAUUAUUUCUAAAGGAAAAUUUUGUAUAUUUGAUUUGUUAAUACAUUUUGUUCCAAAGAGAAAGGAGACAAAAAGUGUAUAUGUGGAGCUCUUUACAAGUUUCUCUCUUUUCAUUUGUAUCAUAAUUGAGAGAAUUUUGUUUCAAACUUUUUCAGCAAUAAAAUUUUUGGAAAUUAUUGUUUUGUGUAUAUUUAUGUACAUUUCAUUCUUUAUUCUUACUCAUUGGAGAUUUCAUGAUGAAUUUUGAAAAAUAAAACUAAAUUGAGAUUUUUUCAACCUCCAGCCUGAAAAUUCACAAGUAUAUGCUUCCUAAAAUCCUUACACUCGAUUGGCAUCCGAGCUGUACAAUAAAAGUGCUCAAAAAUAAGAGAGGUCCUUCAAAAGGCCCAAUGAGAUACCUUUUCUCCUUCGCUGAACAAUUCAUGUUUUGCCACUUCUAUUGACCCCAUUGGGGCAACUUUACUUGGAAAAAUGUCCAUGUGUCUAAUUAGACUCAAAUCACAUCUAAGUGAAAGCGAAAGGGUGCAUUAUUCUUAUUUGUUUUGAAAAUUUGGAAUGAUACUUUGACAUUCGUUUCUCUACCCAUACAGAUUUUAUCAUUUGCUCUCCCGUUUGAGCCUUUAAAAGAAUAACUUCGUUUCAAAUAAGCGCCUUGAUGAUCACAACCCUACAUGGGAAAAUUUUCGAAUAUCAAAAGGGGAAUGGAUUCUCAAUGAGCAUUUCUUUACUUUGGUUGUCAUGAAGCAUAAGAAUGAUGCUUUGGCCAUCGUUUCUACCACUAAACACUGCUUUACCCUUGCAUCCUCAUUUGAGCCAAAAUUGCUGGUUCUUUUCAAAGCACUUAUGAUCGCCCCCACACUGGGGAAGAUUGGAGAAUUUUCCAAAAGAAGAGAAAAGCCAAAAUGCUAAGGCUAAAAGGGAGACAACCGCAAAUUGGAAAUUUGAUUCCACUUGGGUUCCAAUGUUGAAGAAAGAAAAGGAAGAAUUUCAUCUGGCAGAUCAUCUAUGCUUCACAGGCGUCUUCCUCAGUCAAUUAAUUCAAAUACAUGCGAGAAAUUUCGUCAUUAAAGAAAGUUUCCUUUCAGAGUUAAUGUAAAGAACGGAUAAAGGUCAGGCCCUCUUCUUUUCCAAGCGAACAUUCUAUCCUUAGUUAUCCCUUUUGAGCCUUCAGAAUGAAUUAUUUCGUUUGGCAACCCCUGAGAAUUGCAAACCCACUGGGGCAAGUUUGAGUUGAAAAAAAAUUUCAAGAAGUGAAAAGUGAAAAGCCACAAAAUCAAAAGACAAAAGAAAAGAGAACCUCAGUUCAAAAAUAAACUGGGGCAAAUUUUGUGAAAGUUCAAAGAAGGUAAAAGGCCGAAAAAUCAAAAGAAGAAAGAAAAUGAAAGAGAAAAGCCUCAAUGAGCACAAACUGGGGCAAAUUCUGAUUUAACCCUAAAAUAGGGUUGGCGUAACAAUGCGAUCUCAGAUUCUUUAAACCACUUUUGAAAUCCGCUUUCAAGCCUUAACUUUUCUAAGCACCCACCUGACCCCAUUACAAAAGCCGAAAGUCCUGACUUCUGUUCUUUGCAAUGGCCCUGUCAAGAAAAUUUCUGAUGCCGAAAAUUUUAGCUGUAUUUCUGAAUUGCUUGGGUAUGGGUUGACGCUACUCACCAUGUGAAAACCCACCAAGUUGAGGGAAAGGGAAAAGAAGCAAAAGCAAAAAAGGAGUAAAUGCAAGAAAAUGCAGAAAAUUCGACGCUGAAGUCCCUGGUGAAUGAUGAGAAAAAUGCAAACAAAGUCUGAGAUCUUUUGAGUUCAAAAUAGGGGCAAUUUUGAGAAAAAUGCGAUCUUCGGUGCUAUGUCCUUGAAAGUUUUAUUCUUUAGCUAUCGUUUUCAAGCCACAUUACAAGCUAAUAAAGUCCAUCGUUGACUUAUUCCUUCAUGACAAUCCAAAAUGAGGAUUAUGCUCGUAAGGAAUCCAUCAAUUAUUUAUGAUCAUAAGGGUAUAACCAGUUUUCGCAUGUUUAGCUAUCGUUCUACCCAUUGUUGCAAGUUUAAAGCUUGUACGUUGACUAAGUUUUCUUAAGAAAUAAGAGUGACAAACUCUUUGCUUUCACUAAGAUGUGAUAUUGAAUGAUUAAAUUGCAAUUGGGGCACAAAAAUGAGACAAAUUCUGACCUCCCAUUUCCUUAGCCAAAUCAAAAUAAAGUCACUUGAUUGAUUCUGAAAAGAUGAGCCAACCAAAAGUGGUGACCCGUUACCCUGACACCAAUGCUAAAAAGUGAGGAAGAAAUCUUCUUGAAUUUGGUGUUACUUCGAGGAAUUCAUCAUGAAAUUUCUGCAUGAGUUCAAACUUGACGUUAAAGUUUCUUCACAUUGUUGUAUAUGUGCAUUCUUUUCUAAAUGGGCAAAAGUGCGGCUUUUCUUUGUUCAAAUAAAUGGGAAAUCAUCUGAACGAAUUUUUGCAAAUAAGGGAACCCACACUGGGGCAAAAUUUUAUUUGUAAGAUUUCAUGAAAUAAAUCCACACUGGGGCAAAAUUUUAUUUGUAAGAUUUCAUGAAAUAAAUCCAUAUUGGGGCAAAAGUUUUUUAAUACAUUUGAGGAUAUCAAACCAAUCACGCUGUUCUUUCCAAAUAAGAAAUUUGAAUGCAUGUCAUACUUUGAUGAACCCCUUGUACAGGAAUUCAUGGUUCAAAAUGACAGAAAAGCAUCUGGUGAUGUGGGAGGCCGAUGCCGAAGAAAGAGAAGAAAGAAAGGAAAAGGGCCCUACACUUGGGGCAAAUUAUUUUUGGAAAAUUCUCUCUCUCAAAAAAAAAAAAAAAAAAAUCAAUCAGAAAAAUUCAAAAGUCAAACAUCAAGUUCAAAUUCUUGUUUCUUGAAAAAAUCAAAAUUGAUUUCUUGUGGGCGAAGCUUCAAUGCCCGCCGCGCACCCUUCCAUUCCCUACUCUUGACAACUAUAUUUGAUUCUACCACCGUUAGCAUCGAGUUUAUCUCACUAACGUGUGCGUUUCAUCCUACCGCCGUUAGCAUCGAGUCUAUCUCACUAACGUGUGCGUUUCAUCUUACUGCCGUUAGCAUCGAGUCUAUCUCACUAACGUGCAUGUUUUCAUUCCACCGCCGUUAGCAUCGAGUCUAUCUCACUAACGUGCGUGUUUCAUCUUACUGCCGUUAGCAUCGAGUCUAUCUCACUAACGUGCAUGUUUUCAUUCCACCGCCGUUAGCAUCGAGUCUAUCUCACUAACGUGCGUGUCUCAUUUCUACCGCCGUUAGCAUCGAGUCCAUCUCACUAACGUGCGUGUCUCAUUUCUACCGCCGUUAGCAUCGAGUCCAUCUCACUAACGUGCGUGUCUCAUUUCUACCGCCGUUAGCAUCGAGUCAUCUCACUAACGUGCGUGUCUCAUUUCUACACCGCCGUUAGCAUCAAGUCUAUCUCACUAACGUGCGUGUUUCAUUGCUAUCGCCGUUAGCAUCGAGUCUAUCUCACUAACGUGCGUGUUUCAUUUCUACCGCCGUUAGCAUCGAGUCUAUCUCACUAACGUGCGUGUUUCAUUCUACCGUCGUUAGCAUCGAGUCUAUCUCACUAACGUACGUGUUUCAUCCUACCGCCGUUAGCAUCGAGUCUAUCUCACUAACGUGCGCGUUUUCAUCCUACCGCCGUUAGCAUCGAACCUAUCUCACUAAUGUGCGUGUUUUCAUCCCACCAACACUCCAUCUCACUUCAAUUCAUCUAAUUUUACAUUUCUGUCCGGGUCUAUCCCGUGGGUCUAUCCCAAUUUUAAAUUUCUGUCCGGGUCUAUCCCGUGGGUCUAUCCCAAUUUUAAAUUUCUGUCUGGGUCUAUCCCAAUUUUACAUUUCUGUCCGGGUCUAUCCCGUGGGUCUAUCCCAAUUUUACAUUUUCUGUUCGGGUCUAUCCCGUGGGUCUAUCCCAAUUUUAAAUUUCUGUCCGGGUCUAUCCCGUGGGUCUAUCCCAAUUUUAAAUUUCUGUCUGGGUCUAUUCCAAUUUUACAUUUCUGUCCGGGUCUAUCCCGUGGGUCUAUCCCAAUUUUAAAUUUCUGUCUGGGUCUAUCCCAAUUUUACAUUUCUGUCCGGGUCUAUCCCAAUUUUACAUUUUCUGUUCGGUUCUAUCCCGUGGGUCUAUCCCAUUUACGUUUCUGUUUGGGUCUAUCCCAUUUUACAUUUCUGUCCGGGUCUAUCCCGUGGGUCUAUCCCAAUUUUAAAUUUCUGAUCAGGUCUAUCCCGUGGGUCUAUCCCAAUUUUACAUUUCUGUCCGGGUCUAUCCCGUGGGUCUACCCCAAUUUUAAAUUUCUGUCCGGGUCUAUCCGUGGGUCUACCCAAUUUUAAAUUUCUGUCCGGGUCUAUCCCGUGGGUCUAUCCCAAUGUUACAGUUUCUGUUCGGGUCUAUCCCAUUUAAAUUUCUGUCUGGGUCUAUCCCAUUUUACAUUUUCUGUUCGGGUCUAUCCCUGGGUCUAUCCCAUUUACGUUUUUGUUUGGGUCUAUCCCAUUUUACAUUUUCUGUUUGGGUCUAUCCCAUUGUAUAUUUCCUGUCCGGGGUCAGUCCCCAUCGUUCGAGUCGUUCACAGCCGAAUGACCCCGGGUAAGCAUUUGGUGUCUACUUCUUUGUCUCAAGUUUUUUCAAAACUCAGACAAAGAGGGGCAAACUGUAGACACCAAAUUUUGAUUUUUUUUAACUUUAAUCUUAGCCUUAUUUGUUUAAUUUAAUCUUAGCUUUAUUUGUUUCAAUUUUAGGGUUUUCAUUUAUUAUUAUUUAUUAUUUUUAUUAUUGUUAUUUAUUUUAUUUUUGUUCUAGUGUAUUUUUUGGCUUCACAUUAAAUUUCAGGAAAAACAAAAGAAAAAAGAGAAAAGGAAAAAGAAAGAAAGAAGUGAAAAUGACAAGUGUGACUGCAUGCACUUGGACAAGUGUCUUUUCUAUGUUUUAGACAACUAAGCACCUAAGGGGUGAGGUGUUAGGGACAUUUGGGAAGUUAAGGAAUUUUUGGGGGUCAAAGUAGAAUUUUGUGAGGGCUAAAAACUAAAAAAAAGAGGAAGAAAACAAAAAAAGGAAAAACAGAGAGAUGAGAGCUUGAGGGGAGAGCUACGACUAAAAAGGGAAAAGAUUGAAAAAGGCUUUGGGGGGUUUUGGGGCUGAGAAACAGGGGGGCGGCGACAAGGAUAGAGAGCCGAAAAAGACUAAGAAAAGAGGAGGUUUUAGGAGGAACAAGCAGCAAAAACCAAAACAAGAAGAGAGUGAGGGAGAGGUUCUCGGAUGAGGUGAAAGAAAACAGCAGAGGGGGAUUAGAAAGAGGAGCCACGGAAAAAAAAACAACAAGAAACAGAGAAGGGACUUACGACUGGAAACAGAGUGAAAAGGGUGAGAAGGUUUCGCCUGGGAAUGCCAAGAAACAAAGAAGGAAUGGGCGACUAAAAACAGAGGAGCUUGGCCUUGAGGAAAAGAGAGCUCACGGGGGAAGUUUUGAUUGUGAGGCAAAACGAGAGAGAGAGUUAGAGGGAAGAAUUGAGGAGAAAAACAGAAAAAACAAGGAAAAAGCAGAGGGAAGGCGUCGGCUGGAAAACAGAAAAAAAAGAAAGGCCUCGGCAGAGCAACGCAAAACAGAGCAAGAGGGGAAAUUUGGAAAGGGACUUCGGUCGACAAAAUCAGAGAAAACAUGAGGUCCUCGACACCCAAGACUUCGACUUCCAGCUGCUCAAACUCAAUGCUAUUAUCAAAGCCAGAGCUUAUUAUCAAAUGCUUCUCCACCUGCGCCUCGUCUGGGGAUGACUUGAGCAGCGACGGCAGCGAAGGUUUCCAAUUCACCAGGCCGUUACCGUGUCAUCGAAUACACACCACCAUCAUCGCCCGUGGAUUUUCAUCGUCAAGAGCUCUGUAAGUCUUCUAUUUAAAUUUCAGUUCUUCUCAAGAGUGUGAAAUGGGUCUGCCGUGGCUUCAUCUAGUGUGAUUCUCCUGUUAAUUGGUUUCAUUUUUGAAUACCCAUACUACAUAUGUUGAUUGAGUUGAAUGUCUUGAUUUCUGAUAAAUUUGGGGGCUGAUUGACUUCAAUUUGGAACAAAAAUCUGAUGAAACUUUUAAUGCCCCCAAUCUGUUCGAUGUAAUGUCUAGCCGAAAACUUUUUUUUCCGUGUGGAGAAACCGGCUAAGUUGGCCGAAUCAUUGCCUCACGUUUAAGAAAUUUUGAUGCAUUGCUAUCUUUCAUUUUUUCCGUUGCAGUUUUUUUUUGCAAUUUUUCCGUUGCUGUUUUCGGUUGCAUGAAUUCGAAAUCCCCAAUAAAAAUUCCUUCAUCUCUCCCUAAUGUGUCGGACCUUGUCUAUAAGAAAACUGAUUGGGUUGUUGUAAAUUUUGGCUUUUGUUAUUGAGCAAAUUGAUGAAUGAAUUCAAUGUUGUUAACGCGCCUUUACCUGUUUGAUGAAAUGCCUGAACCAGAAAUUUGAACCAAAAAAGAGAUUUGUAUGUAAUUUCUGUAUGCAAUUUAGAAAAGUUCUGGCCAGUGCAAAGCUGGCCAGAACCUGAGCAUUCGCUAGUUGAGCAGAGGGAAAGAAAAUUAUGAUUUCCGAAGUUGAUUUCUUCCAUUUUCGUCAUUUGCCUGUUGAGAUGCUAUGUUUGAGUGUUUUGUCCGAUAGUUUACUAGAUUUGAGAAGCAUCAAAAGUUGCAGAAACUUUCCCUCUUAUUUGCAUCGAAGAAGAAAGCCUCGGCGAGGCAUGAAGCAUUAAUUUCUGAAAAUUGCAAUUUAACCCCUCAGCUUCCCUUAUUCUGAUAUGGCCCAAAAUCUGGAAAAAUUGAACUAAUUUCACCCUUUUAAAUUAUUUUAUGUGAUUUGUUUGGAUAGAUUAAUGCUUAUUUGUAGGUUAUAAUUGAGGUUUAAUAAGUUUAUUUGAUUUCAUUAUGAUUGUUUCAAUAAAAACAAGUGAUAUGGGCUAAGAGUCUUUUUGUUUGGGUUUAAGAAAGUGGGUUCAGUUCAUGAUUUUUGGGUUUUGGUUUGGGCUAGAGGGUCAAGACCCAUCUAUUUGAUUGGCUAAUUUUUGGCCAAAAUAACAUACUAGCCCACUUGUUUUUCCUUGGAUUUCCGAUUGGGGCCAAGUAAUCUUGGCCCAAGAAAGGUGAAAAUGGCCCAUUCCCUUUUGUUUUGGAUUUUCGAUUGGGUCUGGAAGGCUUUGGCCCAAGCAAAUAAAGGAAACGGCCCAAGUGGCCUAAUCCAUUAGGAAACCAGAAAACGUUUUUGCAAAUCGGUCCUGAAUUUCUCCUUAAUCGUACUGUGGCCCUGGACAUUUUCAACUUUUUUCAAUUCGAUCCUUACUUUAAUUGCAAAUAGGUCGCUGAACUUUAUUUUUUCUUUAAUUUUGACCUCCAAACUUUGUUAAUUUGUGCAAUCAAGUCCUUUCUUCUUUUGACUUCUUGAAUGUGAGUUGCUUACAUGAUUCAAUUGAUUCAAUUUCAAGUUUACCAUUUUAUUUUUUUAUGAUUAUUGGUCAAAUAAAUUGGCACCUUGACUCCUUUAUUAUUUUGGAGGAUAAAUAAGUUGAUUUCACUCCAUUAGAGCUUCAUUUCAAGGGAGGUAUAAUUUCUUUUAUCCCUUUUGUCUCUCCUAUGUGAUCCAAUGUGCUAAGUGUGAAUCGCAUGCCUAAUUUGCUUUCAUUACCAUUCUUUAGUUCCAUUAUUUCAUUCAUUCUUGCUUUUAUUAAAUUAUUCUUUUAAAUGGGGUAUGUGUACACCUCUUGGCUUGUAAUAGAUAGGGUUUGGAGGAGCAUUCGAUGAAGAGCUGUUGAAGACUUGUGCCUAGCUAGCAAAUGUAAUAGUUAGGGCCUUAAUCACCUUAUGUGUCUUGCAUGUCUAUGUGCUAUAUGUUUAAUCGUUUUCUUAGGUUUUGGCAUUUAGAUAUGCAUGCUAAGUGUUAUGUGCUAUGUGAUUGACAUGUCUACUCGCUUUCCAUAUCCUUGAAUGAAUGUGAUGGAUGAAUGUACGUUUCCGCUAGUCCAACGCUAGUCGGAAUUCAUAGAAUGGGCUAGUCCAAUGCUAGACCCUUAGGGAUUUCCCCUCGUUAGUACAUGUUUGCAUGUUCAUUACAUGUCAUGCAUUCUUUUUAGUUUUAUCAUUUUGCAUGCCCCUCGAACCCCUUUUCCCUCCAUUUUAGGAUUUUUGCAUUUCAUGCUAGCUAUAGGGUUCAUUUGCUUGAGAGUCCCCUUAAAUAUGGGAUAUAGACGAGUGUGGCUUUUUCUAAGCCUUAGCACGCUUGUAUUCCCUCUAUAAAAGGGCAAAUUGAGUCACGAUUUAGGUCUCCCCGUACCCAAUAUACAUGAAUUCCCUAGGUUCAUGCAUCCACUCUACCAUUUUCUACCUUCAUCACACUUUCAUUUUUUCCUCCCAUUUCGCACACGUGCACCUUUUAUAUUUUCACUUGCACACGAACAUUUUUAUCAUCACUUGCACACAUGCACUUUAUAUUAUCAUUUCACAUACCGUACCUUGCCCACUCACGUGCACAUUUUCAUUCACAUAUUUAUUGUCUUUUAUUAUUUUUUCAAACUCAUGUCCUCACAUUGCAUACAUGCAUUCCAUUCAUUUGCAUCCCACUCGCAUUAUUCGUGACUUCUUCAAAGGAUCGUUAUUGGGCUUCACAAUUAAUGUGAUUGGCACCACUCAACCUUUGAAGGAAAUUUCCCCCAGUACCCCUAGGUCUAGGGUUUGCAUUCAUGUAGUGCAUCCAAAUGUAAUAAAUUCUUUGAUUAAAACAAGAAAAUCUUUGAUUAAAUCAUGCAACUAGCCUUGGCUAGGUCAAAGGGGUGCCUUGGAUUUUAUCCUUGCCUUCCCCUUUGUCAAAUGUGACUCCCGAACCUUUUUCUUUGGUUUACGUGGAUUAGGAGUCGUUUAAAAGGGGUUUCUUACUACUUUUUCCUAUUUUUCUUCAAAAUCCAUUUUUAGGUGACUUGGUACACCUUAACUCAUUACCAAGUGGCGACUCCGUAUUUUGUUUCAAAAAACCCUUUUUAAACUAUAAUUUUGGGUCAAAUCGUCGCAUUCUCAAACCCCCAUUUAGACCCAUUUUUUCUCACAAUUCAUUUUCCAAUCACAAAUUGAAUCAAAAAUACAUUUUUUUAAAACCAUUUAUUUUAUUUAUCAAAAAAAUGGGGCGCGACAGUUGGCGACUCCACUGGGGACAUUUGAGAGUCCGAGCAAAUUUGAUUUAAUCAACCUUUUUCUUCUUUUAACCUUUUCAUAUAUCACAUUUGGGUGUUUUAGGGUUGCAUUUUUUCUUUUUAGGAUUUUUGCAUUUCGCGCGUAUUAAUUACUCCCUCACUCACGAAUGUAUGAUUGGUUGAUUGGAUGUAUGUUUACUUGUUUAUCUCGCGCUUGCAUUGCAUUUGGGGGUGUGUGUCACCUUUAGAGCCUCGCGUGGUUCUCAACCCCUUCCCUCAAAAUAGGGAACACUUCAUACGUGCAUGUUUACUUAUUGUUAUCCCAUUUUAUUUUAUUUUUCGUGGGCGCUAUCCCACACCGCCUUGUAGGAUUAGGAUUGAUUGCCUUGGGUAGGCGGAUGGUGUGCGCUGCGCCCAUAGCGCUACCUAAGGGAUCACUCGAGCCACCGACCAAGGCCCUGGGAGUGAUGACCCUUCGCCUUUAGGUCUGAAGGCUUGGGAGCCGAAGCCUUAUCGAGUCUAGUUGCAUUAGUGAACCCGAGCCUCAUGCAUCCAUGUUAGAAUUUUCCUAGGUUAGAGUCAGCCUUACCCUCUUUUAAGCACAUUAGGCACGAGGGAAGGGGUUCCACCCCUUUUACUUGUUUUAUUGUAUUUCCUUUUUAUUUGCUCCCAAUGUGUUAUGUGUACUAUCAAUUGUGCUAACCAUUUCAUUGUUUUCUUGUCUUGCAUUCAUAUGCCUUAGCAAUAAGAGGCCUCUUCGGCAUUCUUUUAGUGACCUACCCACUAGAUAACUCACAUGUUUAAGUUUCAGUCAUUGCACUUGAUUUUCAAUAAGUACAUUUCAUUUUUAGACCUUUUCCCCCCGAUGCAUUAUUCAUGUCCUUUAGGCCAUAUUUGUCACAUAUUUACAUCGCUUUAAUAAACUGGCAUCAUGCAUUAAACCAUAGAAAGGGAAUGCCAUUUAGGGGAUCCCGUGUUAGGAAUAAGCCACUUUGUGUCUCGGAUACUUAAUCCAACGAGACUUGCACGUUUACAUUUUGUACCAUCCAAAGGGGUAGUGCACAAGGUAAGGUAGGAUCCAAUUAUUUUCAUAGAGUGAUUUUUGGAAUAUGAACGUCUAAUAAUCACUUUUUGGCCAUUUUAUCAAACUUGGUAAAAAUCCCUUGCGUAAAGGACGUUAAUUUGAAGAAAUUCACAAAUAAUGCCUCCUGUUGAGACAAUAAAUAAAUUGAGGCCAAAUCGUGAUUUUAGAAGGCUCAUAGACUAUUUUUUUGAAGCCACCAAUGGCUGGACGAUUCAAUCGAUCCAUUUUUGUCAAUUCAUAAUCAAUUUUGAGUAAAUCAUUAACUUCAUUUCAUUCAUUUGACCAAUUUACCCUUUUUAGGGUCAUUCGGUCAUUUUGAAUAAAUCAUCAAUUCAUUUGACCAAUUUACCCUUUUUAGGGUCAUCCGGUCAUUUUGAAUAAAUCAUCAAUUCAUUUGACCAAUUUACCCUUUUUAGGGUCAUCCGGUCGAUUUUGAAUAAAUCGUCAAUUUAUUUGACAAUUUACCCUUUUAGGGUCAUUUGACCAAUUUACCCUUUUAGGGUCAUCCGUCAUUUUGAAUAAAUCGAUCAUUCAAUUCAUUUGACCAAUUUACCCUUUUUAGGGUCUCCGGUCAAUUUUGAAUAAAUCGUCAAUUCAUUUGACCAAUUUACCCUUUUUAGGGUCAUUCUGCAUUUUUGAAUAAAUCACUAAUUCAUUUCAUUCAUUUGACCAAUUUACCCUUUUAGGGCAUCCGGUCUGUUUUGAAUAAAAUUCUCAAUUUCAUCGAUCAAAUUCCUUUUUAGGAUGAUUCGGUCAAUUUUGAGUAAAUUAAAUUUCACUCAAUUCAUUUGACCCUUUCCCUUUUUAGGGUAAUCGGUCGAUUUUAAAUAAAUGGUCAAUUCAUUCAACACAUUUGACCAAUUAGGGUUUCAAUGUCAAUUUCAAAUUGGAAACCUAGUCGAUUUUGAGAAAACCAUCCAUUGCAUCCAGCCAUUUGAUCAGUUGGGUUUUGACCCGUGCUUCACUGAAAAAUUUGUCAACGAAUUCCAAUCUCUUCGAUAGGAAGUUCGUCAAGGUCAAACCUGUGCGUUUUUGCAAAUUCUUGUAUCGAUCAAAAGUGAUCAAUCCCUUCGGACGAGUCCUCAUUUUGACAAACGUCUCUUCUCACUCCAAUUGACCAAAUUUUUCAAAAUUAUUUUUUCUCACUCAAUGAGUUGAUCGAUCCAUCAGGUAUUGUAUAGUGCCUAUCCUAGAGGAUUGCAUUUUCAUGCUAGGCCUACCCUUGGCACAAAAAGGGUUCCCCCAUAGGACAUGCAUACCGAUUUUAUAUUCUUGUUUACUAACUCUGGGUAUUUUUCUUUUGUUUUCCCCCUCCCCUGCAUUCAUAAAAAUGUUUCAAUAAGGGAAAAUAUUUUUCUAUAUCUGAUGAAAUUUGAUCUAAUAAGUGUCAAAAUUGCAAGUAUUUGUGAUUCUUGGGCAGAUCCUACAAUGAAAACAUAAAGAUCUAUCUGGAAGCUCUACGCUAAAGCUCUGAGAGAUUUUGUAAUUGUUUCAAAGGAAAAUUCUGUAUAUUUGAUUUGUUAAUACAUUUUGUUCCAAAAGAAAAGGAGACAAAAAGUGUAUAUGUGGAGCUCUUUACAAGUUUCUCUCUUUCAUUUGUAUCAUAAUUGAGAGAAUUUUGUUUCAAACUUUUUCAGCAAUAAAAUUUUUGGACAAUUAUUGUUUUGUGUAUAUUUAUGUACAUUUCAUUCUUUAUUCUUACUCAUUGGAGAUUUCAUGAUGAAUUUUGAGAAAUAAAACCAAAUUGAGAUUUUUUCAACCUCCAGCCUGAAAUUCACAAGUAUAUGCUUCUAAAAUCCUUACACUCGAUUGGUGAUCCGAGCUGUACAAUAAAAGUGCUCAAAAAUAAGAGAGGUCCUCAAAAGGCCCAAUGAGAUACCUUUUCUCCUUCGCUGAACAAUUCAUGUUUUGCCACUUCUAUUGACCCCAUUGGGGCAACUUUACUUGAAAAAUGUCCAUGUGUCUAAUUAGACUCAAUCACAUCUAAGUGAAAGCGAAAGGGUGCAUUAUUCUUAUUUGUUUUGAAAAUUUGGAAUGAUACUUUGAGCAUUCGUUUCUCUACCAUACAGAUUUUAUCAUUUGCUCUCCCUUUGAGCCUUUAAAAGAAUAACUUCGUUUCAAAUAAGCGCCUUGAUGAUCACAACCCUACAUGGAAAAUUUUCGAAUAUCAAAAGGGGAAUGGAUUCUCAAUGAGCAUUUCUUUACUUUGGUUUGUCAUGAAGCGUAAGAAUGAUGCUUUGGCCAUCGUUUCUACCUUAAACACUGCUUUACCCUUGCAUCCUCAUUUGAGCCAAAAUUGCUGGUUCUUUUCAAAGCACUUAUGAUCGCCCCCACACUGGGGAAGAGAUUGGAGAAUUUUCCAAAAGAAAAGAGAAAAGCCAAAAUGCUAAGGCUAAAAGGGAGAACCGCAAAUUGGAAAUUUGAUUCCACUUGGGUUCCAAUGUUGAAAAAAAGAAAAGGAAGAAUUUCAUCUGGCAGGAUCAUCUAUGCUUCACAGGCGUCUUCCUCAGUCAAUUAAUUCAAAUACAUGCGAGAAAUUUCGUCAUUAAUGAAAGUUUCCUUUCAGAGUUAAUGUAAAGAACGGAUAAAGGUCAGGCCCUCUUCUUUUCCAAGCGAACAUUCUAUCCUUAGUUAUCCCUUUUGAGCCUUCAGAAUGAAUUAUUUCGUUUGGCAACCCCUGAGAAUUGCAAACCCCACACUGGGGCAAGUUUGAGUUGAAAAAAAAUUUCAAGAAGUGAAAAGUGAAAAGCCACAAAAUCAAAAGACAAAAGAAAAGAGAACCUCAGUUCAAAAUAAACUGGGGCAAAUUUUGUGAAAGUUCAAAAAUGGAAAAGCCGAAAAAUCAAAAGAAGAAAGAAAAUGAAAGAGAAAAAGCCUCAAUUGAGCAUAAACUGGGGCAAAUUCUGAUUUAACCCUAAAAUAGGGUUGGCAACAAUGCGAUCUCAGAUUCUUUAAACCACUUUUGAAAUCCGCUUUCAAGCCUUAACUUUUCUAAGCACCCCACCUGACCCCAUUACAAAAGCCGAAAGUCCUGACUUCUGUUCUUUGCAAUGGCCCUGUCAAGAAAAUUUCUGAUGCCGAAAAUUUUAGCUGUAUUUCUGAAUUGCUUGGGUAUGGGGUUGACGCUACUCACCAUGUGAAAACCCACCAAUUGAGGAAAGGAAAAGAAGCAAAAAGCAAAAAAAGGAGUAAAUGCAAGAAAAUGCAGAAAAUUCGACGCUGAAGUCCCUGGUGAAUGAUGAGAAAAAUGCAAACAAAGUCUGAGAUCUUUGAGUUCAAAAUAGGGGCAAUUUUGAGAAAAAUGCGAUCUUCGGUGCUAUGUCCUUGAAAGUUUUAUUCUUUAGCUAUCGUUUUCAAGCCACAUUACAAGCUAAUAAAGUCCAUCGUUGACUUAUUCCUUCAUGACAAUCCAAAGUGAGGAUUAUGCUCGUAAGGAAUCCAUCAAUUAUUUAUGAUCAUAAGGGUAUAACCAGUUUUCGCAUGUUUAGCUAUCGUUCCUACCCAUUGUUGCAAGUUAAAGCUUGUACGUUGACUAAGUUUUCUUAAGAAAUAAGAGUGACAAACUCUUUGCUUUCACUAAGAUGUGAUAUUGAAUGAUUAAAUUGCAAUUGGGACAAAAAUGAGACAAAUUCUGACCUCCCAUUUCCUUAGCCAAAUCAAAAUAAAGUCACUUGAUUGAUCUGAAAGAUGAGCCAACCAGAAAGUGGUGACCCGUUACCCUAACAAAUGCUAAAAGUGAGGAAGAAAUCUUCUUGAAUUUGGUGUUACUUCGAGGAAUUCAUCAUGAAAUUUCUGCAUGAGUUCAAACUUGACGUUUAAAGUUUCUUCACAUUGUUGUAUAUGUGCAUUCUUUUCUAAAUGGGCAAAAGUGCGGCUUUUCUUUGUUCAAAUAAAUGGGAAAUCAUCUGAACGAAUUUUUGCAAAAGGGAACCCACACUGGGGCAAAAUUUUAUUUGUAAGAUUUCAUGAAAUAAAUCCACACUGGGGCAAAAUUUUAUUUGUAAGAUUUCAUGAAAUAAAUCCAUACUGGGGCAAAAUUUUUUUAAGAUACAAAGUUUUUUAAUUUGAGGAUAUCAAACCAAUCACGCUGUUCUUUCCAAAUAAGAAAUUUGAAUGCAUGUCAUACUUUGAUGAACCCUUGUACAGGAAUUCAUGGUUCAAAAUGACAGAAAAGCAUCUGGUGAUGUGGGAGCCGAUGCCGAAGAAAGAGAAGAAAGAAAGGAAAAGGGCCCUACACUUGGGGCAAAUUAUUUUUGGAAAAUUCUCUCUCUCAAAAAAAAAAAAAAAAAAAAUCAAUCAGAAAAAUUCAAAAGUCAAACAUCAAGUUCAAAUUCUUGUUUCUUGAAAAAAUCAAAAUUGAUUUCUUGUGGGCGAAGCUUCAAUGCCCGCCGCGCACCCUUCCAUUCCCUACUCUUGACAACUAUAUUUGAUUCUACCACCGUUAGCAUCGAGUUUAUCUCACUAACGUGUGCGUUUCAUCCUACCGCCGUUAGCAUCGAGUCUAUCUCACUAACUGUGUGCGUUUCAUCUUACUGCCGUUAGCAUCGAGUCUAUCUCACUAACGUGCAUGUUUUCAUUCCACCGCGUUAGCAUCGAGUCUAUCUCACUAACGUGCGUGUUUCAUCUUACUGCCGUUAGCAUCGAGUCUAUCUCACUAACGUGCAUGUUUUCAUUCCACCGCCGUUAGCAUCGAGUCUAUCUCACUAACGUGCGUGUUCAUUUCUACCGCCGUUAGCAUCGAGUCCAUCUCACUAACGUGCGUGUCUCAUUUCUACCGCCGUUAGCAUCGAGUCCAUCUCACUAACGUGCGUGUCUCAUUUCUACCGCCGUUAGCAUCGAGUCCAUCUCACUAACGUGCGUGUCUCAUUUCUACCGCCGUUAGCAUCGAGUCUAUCUCACUAACGUGCGUGUUUCAUUGCUACGCCGUUAGCAUCGAGUCUAUCUCACUAACGUGCGUGUUUCAUUUCUACCGCCGUUAGCAUCGAGUCUAUCUCACUAACGUGCGUGUUUCAUUCUACCGCCGUUAGCAUCGAGUCUAUCUCACUAACGUGCGUGUUUCAUCCUACCGCGUUAGCAUCGAGUCUAUCUCACUAACGUGCGUGUUUUCAUCCUACCGCCGUUAGCAUCGAGUCUAUCUCACUAACGUGCGCUUUUCAUCCUACCGCUUAGCAUCGAACCUAUCUCACUAAUGUGCGUGUUUUCAUCCCACAACACUCCAUCUCACUUCAAUUCAUCUAAUUUUACAUUUCUGUCCGGGUCUAUCCCGUGGGUCUAUCCCAAUUUUAAAUUUCUGUCCGGGUCUAUCCCGUGGGUCUAUCCCAAUUUUAAAUUUCUGUCUGGGUCUAUCCAAUUUUACAUUUCUGUCCGGGUCUAUCCCGUGGGUCUAUCCCAAUUUUACAUUUUCUGUUCGGGUCUAUCCCGUGGGUCUAUCCAUUUUAAAUUUCUGUCCGGGUCUAUCCCGUGGGUCUAUCCCAAUUUUAAAUUUCUGUCUGGGUCUAUUCCAAUUUUACAUUUCUGUCCGGGUCUAUCCCGUGGGUCUAUCCCAAUUUUAAAUUUCUGUCUGGGUCUAUCCCAAUUUUACAUUUCUGUCCGGGUCUAUCCCAAUUUUACAUUUUCUGUUCGGUUCUAUCCCGUGGGUCUAUCCCAUUUACGUUUCUGUUUGGGUCUAUCCCAUUUUACAUUUCUGUCCGGGUCUAUCCCGUGGGUCUAUCCCAAUUUUAAAUUUCUGAUCAGGUCUAUCCCGUGGGUCUAUCCCAAUUUUACAUUUCUGUCCGGGUCUAUCCCGUGGGUCUACCCCAAUUUUAAAUUUCUGUCCGGGUCUAUCCCGUGGGUCUACCCCAAUUUUAAAUUUCUGUCCGGGUCUAUCCCGUGGGUCUAUCCCAAUGUUACAGUUUCUGUUCGGGUCUAUCCCAUUUAAAUUUCUGUCUGGGUCUAUCCCAUUUUACAUUUUCUGUUCGGGUCUUCCGUGGGUCUAUCCCAUUUACGUUUGUUUGGGUCUAUCCCAUUUUACAUUUUCUGUUUGGGUCUAUCCCAUUGUAUAUUUCCUGUCCGGGGUCAGUCCCCAUCGUUCGAGUCGUUCACAGCCGAAUGACCCCGGGUAAGCAUUUGGUGUCUACUUCUUUGUCUCAAGUUUUUUCAAAACUCAGACAAAGAGGGGCAAACUGUAGACACCAAAUUUUGAUUUUUUUUAACUUUAAUCUUAGCCUUAUUUGUUUAAUUUAAUCUUAGCUUUAUUUGUUUCAAUUUUAGGGUUUUCAUUUAUUAUUAUUUAUUAUUUUUAUUAUUGUUAUUUAUUUUAUUUUUGUUCUAGUGUAUUUUUGGCUUCACAUUAAAUUUCAGGAAAAACAAAAGAAAAAAGAGAAAAGGAAAAAGAAAGAAAAAGUGAAAAUGACAAGUGUGACUGCAUGCACUUGGACAAGUGUCUUUUCUAUGUUUUAGACAACUAAGCACCUAAGGGGUGAGGUGUUAGGGACAUUUGGGAAGUUAAGGAAUUUUUGGGGGUCAAAGUAGAAUUUUGUGAGGGCUAAAAACUAAAAAAAAGAGGAAGAAAACAAAAAAAGGAAAAACAGAGAGAUGAGAGCUUGAGGGGAGAGCUACGACUAAAAAGGGAAAAGAUUGAAAAAGGCUUUGGGGGGUUUUGGGGCUGAGAAACAGGGGGGCGGCGGACAAGGAUAGAGAGCCGAAAAAGACUAAGAAAAGAGGAGGUUUUAGGAGGAACAAGCAGCAAAAACCAAAACAAGAAGAGAGUGAGGGAGAGGUUCUCGGAUGAGGUGAAAGAAAACAGCAGAGGGGGGAUUAGAAAGAGGAGCCACGGAAAAAAAAACAACAAGAAACAGAGAAGGGACUUACGACUGGAAACAGAGUGAAAAGGGUGAGAAGGUUUCGCCUGGGAAUGCCAAGAAACAAAGAAGGAAUGGGCGACUAAAAAACAGAGGAGCUUGGGCCUUGAGGAAAAGAGAGCUCACGGGGGGAAGUUUUGAUUGUGAGGCAAAACGAGAGAGAGAGUUAGAGGGAAGAAUUGAGGAGAAAAAAGAAAAAACAAGGAAAAAGCAGAGGGAAGGCGUCGGCUGGAAAACAGAAAAAGAAAAGAAAGGCCUCGCAGAGCAACGCAAAACAGAGCAAGAGGGGAAAUUUGGAAAGGACUUCGGUCGACAAAAUCAGAGAAAACAUGAGGUCCUCGACACCCAAGACUUCGACUUCCAGCUGCUCAAACUCAAUGCUAUUAUCAAAGCCAGAGCUUAUUAUCAAAUGCUUCUCCACCUGCGCCUCGUCUGGGGAUGACUUGAGCAGCGACGGCAGCGAAGGUUUCCAAUUCACCAGGCCGUUACCGUGUCAUCGAAUACACACCACCAUCAUCGCCCGUGGAUUUUCAUCGUCAAGAGCUCUGUAAGUCUUCUAUUUAAAUUUCAGUUCUUCUCAAGAGUGUGAAAUGGGUCUGCCGUGGCUUCAUCUAGUGUGAUUCUCCUGUUAAUUGGUUUCAUUUUUGAAUACCCAUACUACAUAUGUUGAUUGAGUUGAAUGUCUUGAUUUCUGAUAAAUUUGGGGGCUGAUUGACUUCAAUUUGGAACAAAAAUCUGAUGAAACUUUUAAUGCCCCCAAUCUGUUCGAUGUAAUGUCUAGCCGAAAACUUUUUUUUCCGUGUGGAGAAACCGGCUAAGUUGGCCGAAUCAUUGCCUCACGUUUAAGAAAUUUUGAUGCAUUGCUAUCUUUCAUUUUUUCCGUUGCAGUUUUUUUUUGCAAUUUUUCCGUUGCUGUUUUCGGUUGCAUGAAUUCGAAAUCCCCAAUAAAAAUUCCUUCAUCUCUCCCUAAUGUGUCGGACCUUGUCUAUAAGAAAACUGAUUGGGUUGUUGUAAAUUUUGGCUUUUGUUAUUGAGCAAAUUGAUGAAUGAAUUCAAUGUUGUUAACGCCCUUUACCUGUUUGAUGAAAUGCCUGAACCAGAAAUUUGAACCAAAAAAGAGAUUUGUAUGUAAUUUCUGUAUGCAAUUUAGAAAAGUUCUGGCCAGUGCAAAGCUGGCCAGAACCUGAGCAUUCGCUAGUUGAGCAGAGGGAAAGAAAAUUAUGAUUUCCGAAGUUGAUUUCUUCCAUUUUCGUCAUUUGCCUGUUGAGAUGCUAUGUUUGAGUGUUUUGUCCGAUAGUUUACUAGAUUUGAGAAGCAUCAAAAGUUGCAGAAACUUUCCCUCUUAUUUGCAUCGAAGAAGAAAGCCUCGGCGAGGCAUGAAGCAUUAAUUUCUGAAAAUUGCAAUUUAACCCCUCAGCUUCCCUUAUUCUGAUAUGGCCCAAAAUCUGGAAAAAUUGAACUAAUUUCACCCUUUUAAAUUAUUUUAUGUGAUUUGUUUGGAUAGAUUAAUGCUUAUUUGUAGGUUAUAAUUGAGGUUUAAUAAGUUUAUUUGAUUUCAUUAUGAUUGGUUUCAAUAAAAACAAGUGAUAUGGGCUAAGAGUCUUUUGUUUGGGUUUAAGAAAGUGGGUUCAGUUCAUGAUUUUUGGGUUUUGGUUUGGGCUAGAGGGUCAAGACCCAUCUAUUUGAUUGGCUAAUUUUUGGGCCAAAAUAACAUAUAGCCCACUUGUUUUUCCUUGGAUUUCCGAUUGGGGCCAAGUAAUCUUGGCCCAAGAAAGGUGAAAAUGGAUUCCCUUUUGUUUUGGAUUUUCGAUUGGGUCUGGAAGGCUUUGGCCCAAGCAAAUAAAGGAAACGGCCCAAGUGGCCUAAUCCAUUAGGAAACCAGAAAACGUUUUUGCAAAUCGGUCCCUGAAUUUCUCCUUAAUCGUACUGUGGCCCUGGACAUUUUCAACUUUUUUCAAUUCGAUCCUUACUUUAAUUGCAAAUAGGUCGCUGAACUUUAUUUUUUCUUUAAUUUUGACCUCCAAACUUUGUUAAUUUGUGCAAUCAAGUCCUUUCUUCUUUUGACUUCUUGAAUGUGAGUUGCUUACAUGAUUCAAUUGAUUCAAUUUCAAGUUUACCAUUUUAUUUUUUUAUGAUUAUUGGUCAAAUAAAUUGGCACCUUGACUCCUUUAUUAUUUUGGAGGAUAAAUAAGUUGAUUUCACUCCAUUAGAGCUUCAUUUCAAGGGAGGUAUAAUUUCUUUUAUCCCUUUUGUCUCUCCUAUGUGAUCCAAUGUGCUAAGUGUGAAUCGCAUGCCUAAUUUGCUUUCAUUACCAUUCUUUAGUUCCAUUAUUUCAUUCAUUCUUGCUUUUAUUAAAUUAUUCUUUUAAAUGGGGUAUGUGUACACCUCUUGGCUUGUAAUAGAUAGGGUUUGGAGGAGCAUUCGAUGAAGAGCUGUUGAAGACUUGUUGUGAGGACUCGUAAAAACUAUUAUUUUUUUUAAGCCUAAUUUGUGGCUUAAUAAAUUAUUUAAUUGGAUAUUUGCCUCGAGGAAUAUUUCUAGUCUUAUUAGACCUAAAUACAUGGUAAUAUAACUUCGUUAUAUUUUUAAAGUAACUCAUUUCACGAAUUAAUUUCCUGGAGCGCGUUUAGUAAAAACAGUGAAUAGUGCUUGGAGAUUUUAUCCGCUUGAGAGUACAAUAAGUUUGGAAUAUUGGAGACAUGUACAAUGGACCUAAAUUCGGUAUUUUAAUGUUUAAAUACUCAAGUGAUAGUUAUUAGUACUAUCGUUAUAGAAUUUCCCGGAAGUUUCGCGUUAUAGCGGUAAAAUUGGCGGUACGCGUUUUCACACGCGCGACUUUAUUUGAGGAACUUUAGACCCUUGUUUCGAGACAAUUAAGAGUGAAUAAUGUUUAUAUUAACAUGAGUGCAUUAGAGGUUUAGUGCACUAGUGAACCAAACGCGCGAGAAAAUCGAGCCUAAAAACGUGCCAAACGAGCCUUACAAGAGUUGACUUUGGAGCAAUUUUUCACCACACAUUUAAUCUUCUUUGAGAAGCCAACUUAGAUCAAAAUCACACUCUCUCUUCUCUCUCCUCACAGCCGGCCAAGCUCCUCUCUCUCUCUAACUCAUUUGCAACAAAAAUUCUGCACACUAAUCUCAACCAAAACUACCCCAAAUCACCUCCAAAUCACACCAAACUUGGAGACCACUUAGCAAACCUCUUGGAGGUUGGAUUUAGCUAACAAAAGGCUGCAUCUUCACGGGUUCUUGGAGCUUCAAGAGGGCCGAAAUUUCUGAUCUUGCACACCAAGGAAUAGGUAAUGAUCAACCCUUGGAUUCUUGUCUUUUGGAAUUUAUAUAGCAAGAUUAAGCUCAUGCAUGCACUUAGUUAGCUUGUUUAUGGUGAAAAUGAAAUGAGUGGGCUCUUGGUAUUCCCACACUUGGGUUGUUGUUGCUGAUUUAAGGAUUAAUGUUGGAUUUAAUGGUAGUUUAGUGGUUAUAAUGAUGAGUUUAUGGAGUGUUAUUGUUGGAAACUCAAAGUAGAGGUCUUGGCAAGAAUUUCCGAAAAUGCCCCUGUUUUGUUCGGCCAUAAGAAGGCCCAUUUUUGGUGAUCUAUGGCAUGAACCUGAUGUUUAUAUGUUAUAUUAUGUGUGUAAAAAUUUUCGUUGGAAAACAUUAACGUUUGGUGGGUCAAAUGAAUUUUUCUCCUAGAAGUGGCAAUCUGGAAAUCUGUUCCGUAUUGCACUGUCCAGCGUUGGCAUUUUUGGCUAUAACUCUGUCCUCGGAUGUCGAAAUCAUGUGCCCGUCGGUGCGUUUGAAACUAGACAUUCCUAGCUUUAAAUUUGGUAUAAAAUGCACGUUCUGAUUCCUUGUGAGCAAGCCGAACCAAAUGUUUUAAGUUCGCUGUCCUGUUGCUCUGUUCGUCUGGAAUGAAGUGUUCAGGCAGCAACUUGAUGCCCGAAUUUGAACCAGAUGGGUGCCGAAUUUGGGAAUGACUUCUUCUGUGAUGUUUUAGUACUAUGAAUGUAUUUUCCAACGGCGUAAGCCAUGCUCAAUUUCGAGCUAUAUUGACUGAGUUGUGACUGAAACAAGUGGACUGCUCUGUUUUGGAAAACCCUAAUGUUGGGACUGGUUUGGAACCAAAUCUUGGAAUGAACUUGUUAGUUGAUGUUUUUGAUAUUAAACACUUACCAAAGAUAUUAUGGGUGUAUCUUAGACCCUUAUUUCACAAAUGAACCAUGGUUGGAUAACUUUCUUGGUUAGACGAUUGGAAAUUGGAAAUGAAAGUCAAAGGCAGAUUGCCUUAUAAUUUUCCUGAACUUUGGUUGACUAAUUAACUAUCUUACCGAAAGUAUUUUUCCCUGAAAUUUGAUAGAGUGGUACCUUUCAUAUGGGAGUAAAAUACUGCCAAUUUUGGUACCAAUCCAAGUUCGUUUCGAUACCGAAUUAAAUUUCUAGUGUUGGAGGUUCAAAACUGGAAAUUCUUCUUCAGUCUUGAAUCUUCCUCAACUUGGGGCUACUAUAUCUUGGUGCUCGAAACUCCAUUUCUCAAUCCGCUUGUAUUGUUAUACUCUUGGAUUGUAACACUAUUUGAUUUCCAAAUUUCAAAGGUUAGUUCAAAACAAGUGAAUUUUACUGAAUUUCCAAAAUUGGCCAAAAACCAACCUUGAAACUGUCUUAGUAUUCUACAGCUGUAACUUUGAUCCAACUUUUGAAUACCUUCCAUUUGGAAUCAUGGGAAAGUGUCUUCUAGAAACUUGUAGUACUCGGAAUGUAGUUUCCAAUGGUAUCAAGCUUUCCAAUUUUGGACCUACGUAGUGCAAGAUACGAUUUUUCUAGAAUUGACACCCAAAGCUAAAAUUUGACAAUUUCUUAGAAAUGAGAUUUUGGAAACUUGCCUUCUUUUCUCGAUACCGAUUGAACAUUUUUAACUCGAUUUCAUGAAAAAUGUUAGUCUCUUUCUUUAGACUUUAAAACUUUACUCUUGAGCCUCGAUUAUUAAUAAUUAAGGCCCAAUUCAUGAAUUCCCUUUAGAUUGUACAACCUUCUUUGAUAAGUAGGAGUUCUAAGUGAUAGUGUAUAAUAGUUAAUGGUUGUUUACUCAGGCACUCGAGGGAAUCUCCAAGGGGAACUCGGAGCGGACACCUAAAACGCUUGUUUGAAAACUACUCGCUUGUUUUGACUAGGUGAGUGUUCCAUAUAGGAAUACGUAAUUGAAUAAGUCUAGGACACGCUUAUUUCAUGAUUAUUAAGUGCUAUGUGUUAAGUAUUUACCAUACUCAUGCCUAUUUAAGGAAUGUAUACUUGCAUUGUAUAUCUACAUGAAUUGGUUAAAUCAUUAACCAUAUCAAAUGACCAUAUGAACUCGAUACAUGCUUAACUUGCUAGAUUGUUUACUUAGUCUACUUGGUUUUGAAAAAUGGAGUCGAGUGUGUACUUUAUCGCACUCGUUCUCUUUUGAGAUGAAUAAUUCAUGCUUGAAAAUACUCGAAUAACAUGACUUGGUAUGCUAAGGUUGCAUACGUCGUUGGAGUGAAUCUCCUCGACUCUCACGUGGUAAAAAUGGGAUAACGGCCAAUGAUGGCCUAUGCAUAUGACCAAUGCUUGUCAAUUAACCGUCAACCGUGAACAGUUAACCGUUAACCGUGAACCGUUUACCAACCCACAUGACUACCUGAUUACCUGACUAUUUGCUCAUAUGAUUUCUAAUCUAUAUGAUUAUUCGAUAUCCGUGAAUUAUAUGCUCCCAUGAAAUCAACUUGUAUUGCUUACGUGCUUACGUGCUAAGUAUCCACUUGAUCACUUGAUUAUCAUGAAUCACAUGUUAUAUGAAUGUUGACCUUGGUCGAUCAAUCAUUGGUUUUGAUGAUUAACAAACCAAUAUGUAGAUUUGGGUUAAUGUUUUUAUGUGAGUAAUUUGUUAGAACAGAUUCUUGUGGCAUAAAAGAAGAAGCAAAAACAGCAGGCACUCAUGUCGGACGCUAUCGGACGUCCGAAAGGAUGAAGAACAUCAAGAAGGAAACUCUGUCGGACGCUCGUGAGGAAGCAUCGGACGUUCGGAAGGAUCGGACGCACGCAUCGGACGCACAUCGAUCGCAUCGGACGUCCGAGAAAUUUCGCAAAGAUUUGAUGACUCUCUGACGACGUUCGGACGUAGGGUUCGGACGUCCGACAGGUGGUUUGGAUGCAGGGUUCGGACGUCCGACAGGUGGUUCGGACGUCCGACAGGCCAACGGCUAGUUUUGACAGCAUUUAAUAUUUGACCGUUAGAGAGCCUUUUGAAGCCAUUUCUCACCUUCUAUAAAUACCCCAAAGCACAAGAAGACAAAUGACUUUUGCCAACACAAAAUACAAGCUUACAAGUGAGAUUUUUGAGUAGAAAGAUUCUUUGUUGGUUGUAUAAGGGGUUGGGGAAGUUGGGUUGUGAGGUUGCUCAAGUGAAGGUUUCUCUCUAGGAGAAGUAAAACCUUGGUGAAGGUGAACCUAUCACUUGAAGUGGUAAAACCUUGGUGAAGGUUGCCUCAUUUGUAUAAAAUAGUUCUUAAUUGGGUGAGUGAUCUUUCAAGUGUAGGUUGUUGAGGGUUAACUAGAAUAGUUGUAAAACUCCUUGGCUCAACCAAAGUGUGUUUGGGGUGAGGAAGGAGUGAGCCUUCACUUGUACAUCUUGGUUAGCAUCGCCAUCAAUUGAAGAGGCUAUUGGUUUGAUAUUUGGUUUGCAUUUCUUAUCCUUUCUCUUUAAUUAAGUUUUCUUUAUUGUGCUUAAAUUUGAUAUAUCUUUGUGCAUCAUUGUGAAUUUGUUUGUACUCAUUGGGUUGCACCGGGCACUUACAAUUGGUAUCAGAGCUUGGUCUCUUUUGAUCAAGCUUAACCGCUUAGAGUAAAGAUCAUGGCAACCAUAAAAGUUUCUUUUUUAGAAGGGCAAUCUAUUGAUAGACCACCUAUGUUUAAUGGUUCUCAUUUUAGCAUGUGGAAACAAAGAAUGAUGAUUUUCUUACAAUCCGUUUAUAUUGAAUUAUGGUAUGUGGUAGAAGAUGGUCCUUAUGAAGUUAGAAUAGUUGACUCUACCACCAAUUUGAGUAGAUUAAAGACUAGACAAGAAUUGAAUGAAAAAGACAAGAGAUACCUUUCUUUGAAUGCCAAGGCCAUGUGUAUAUUGUACAAUGCAUUAGAUGUAAAUGAAUCUAGUAGGAUUAAAGGUUGUAAAUCAGCUAAAGAUAUUUGGGAUAAAUUGUGUGUAUUUCAUGAAGGUAACCAAGAUAUUAAAGAACAAAAGAAAUCUUUGCUUGUUUCUCAAUAUGAAUUUUUCAAAAUGCAUCCUCUUGAAAAUGUUGAUAAGAUGUGUAGUAGAUUUUGUGACAUUAUUGAAGAUCUUAAAUUGCUUGGAAAAGAAUAUUCUUUGGGUGAGAAAAAUAGAAAGAUUUUGAAUGCCUUGCCAAAAGAAUGGGAAAACAAAAUAAAUGCUAUAGAAGAGGCAAAGGAUUUAAAUUCUAUGUCCAUUGAAUCUCUUGUGGAUACCCUAACCUCUUAUGAAUUAAAGCUGAAAUUCAAAGUGCAAGAGGAAGAAAAUGCAAGAAUGUAUAAGAGAGGCAUAGCUUUUAAAGCAUCUCAAGUGGGGAUAACCCAUCCUUCAUGGGUAAUGAAAUCAUGGAAGUGGAUAAUGAUAUAACUCCUCACAUCAAAAGUUUCAAGAAGAUCUUCAACAAGAGAUGUUCAAGAGGAGAUUGCAAAAUUACAUGGGAUGAAUGCAAUUCAAAAAGAGAAAAAGAAGAGUUGGCCCAAAUGGCACUAAUGGCCGUUGGAGAAGAUGAGGUAAGUUCUUAUCACUCUUCUUGUGAUGAAGAUAAUGAAGAUGAUGUGAAAAUUCUUAUGAUUAAAAUGCAUAAAAGUUUGAGAAAAUCUUAUGCUAAAAAUAAAGAUUUGAAAACAAAAAUAAAUGAUUUGUUGGAAGAAAAUUCCAAACUUUUUCAAGAAAAUAAAUGUUUGAGAAUGAAAAAUGAUGAUUUAAAAAAUCAAAAAAGUGUUUUUGAUUGCAAAAAUAAUUUGAAAAGGAAGUUGGAAGAGAAAACAAAGUUUUAUGAAAAAAUGUUGGAGGAACAAAAAUUGUUAAAGAAAAGAAUUAAUGACUUGAACGAGUUUCUCCAAAAUGAAAAACAAAAGUUUUCUCAAACAAAAGAAAGCAAAUCUUUUCAAGGCAUAAAUAAGUUUGCUAUGAUAAGAAGUAAGAAAAUUAGUUGCAUUAAAUCCACCUAUGUGCAAAAUACUUCUAUCAUGUGUCACUUUUGUUGCCAAUUUGGACAUAUGCAAAAUGAUUGCUAUGUAAAGAAAAAUAUGAGAAAAGGUAUUAAAUCCAUGUGGAUUGCUAGAUCAUGUUGUAAUAACUCCCAAGGACCCUAUUAUGGUCUUGACUUGAAAAAUAAAGGGGAAGUUGGCUUUUUGAUUGAUGCCAAAAGGGGGAGUAGGACUUAUUGAAGUUUCUUUGUAUGUUGGCAUUUUCUAAGGGGGAGUUUUAUUUGAACAUGUUGGCAUUUUCUAAGGGGAGUUUUAUUUGAACUUAUUUGAUAAAAGAAAUCUUCAUUUUGUUUGUCAUCAUCAAAAAGGGGGAGAUUGUUGACCUUGGUCGAUCAAUCCUUGGUUUUGAUGAUUAACAAACCAAUAUGUAGAUUUGGGUUAAUGUUUUUAUGUGAGUAAUUUGUUAGAACAGAUUCUUGUGGCAUAAAAGAAGAAGCAAAAACAGGGCACUCAUGUCGGACGCUAUCGGACGUCCGAAAGGAUGAAGAACAUCAAGAAGGAAACUCUGUCGGACGCUCGUGAGGAAGCAUCGGACGUCCGGAAGGAUCGGACGCACGCAUCGGACGCACAUCGAUCGCAUCGGACGUCCGAGAAAUUUCGCAAAGAUUUGAUGACUCUCUGACGACGUUCGGACGCAGGGUUCGGACGUCCGACAGGUGGUUUGGAUGCAGGGUUCGGACGUCCGACAGGUGGUUCGGACGUCCGACAGGCCAACGGCUAGUUUUGACAGCAUUUAAUAUUUGACCGUUAGAGAGCCUUUUGAAGCCAUUUCUCACCUUCUAUAAAUACCCCAAAGCACAAGAAGACAAAUGACUUUUGCCAACACAAAAUACAAGCUUACAAGUGAGAUUUUUGAGUAGAAAGAUUCUUUGUUGGUUGUAUAAGGGGUUGGGGAAGUUGGGUUGUGAGGUUGCUCAAGUGAAGGUUUCUCUCUAGGAGAAGUAAAACCUUGGUGAAGGUGAACCUAUCACUUGAAGUGGUAAAACCUUGGUGAAGGUUGCCUCAUUUGUAUAAAAUAGUUCUUAAUUGGGUGAGUGAUCUUUCAAGUGUAGGUUGUUGAGGGUUAACUAGAAUAGUUGUAAAACUCCUUGGCUCAACCAAAGUGUGUUUGGGGUGAGGAAGGAGUGAGCCUUCACUGUACAUCUUGGUUAGCAUCGCCAUCAAUUGAAGAGGCUAUUGGUUUGAUAUUUGGUUGCAUUUCUUAUCCUUUCUCUUUAAUUAAGUUUUCUUUAUUGUGCUUAAAUUUGAUAUAUCUUUGUGCAUCAUUGUGAAUUUGUUUGUACUCAUUGGGUUGCACCGGGCACUUACAAUGAAGUUUCCAUCAUUGUUAGGCGAGUGUGUACUUUAUCUCACUCGACCUACUCAAAUGAUGAAUUUUACCUUUUGUCGAUUACUUGAUUACUUGUGCAUGUUGUAAGCUCUAAGCUGAACUUGGGCCCUGCCUCGGUUACUGACCUACUCGAGCCAGGACUGGGCGUCGGUCGGGUAGGUUGGAACCCUGGACAACCGUUUCGGUAUACUCGAGUAUUACCACUGGAGGGAUAAGGUGAUGGCCAGUCAAACCGAGGGGAUCCGGAAGUCAUAAGGUGCAGAUGACCGACAGAGUUCCACUGGAACACCGUUAUCCUACAGUAUAUGUUUACCUUGUAUCAUAAUAAUUGUUUCGUGCUAAAAUGCCAACAUGAAAUCCUGAGCUAUGCCUGUAAUAAGCUCCAAUCACUCGUGAACUAUACAUGCCAAUGUCUCAUACCAUGCAUAAAUGUCUCAAAUUACCGUACAAAGAUUAUCACCUCAUGAUAACAUGCCAUUGUGUAACCUUGAACCAUGCAUAUGAUAUGCCCAACUUACUUGAUUUAUUUGAACCGUUAGAGUGUCUUGGAACCUCACUGGGCUGUGUAGCUCAUUCCACGUUGUGGUUUUCUUUUACAGGGUUCGAGACCAAGGGUACUCGUGAGUAGUACUAGAAUGUUUUCUUUUGAAGACUUUAAGUUAUUAUUAUAACGGAUGGCUAUUGUACCAUUUUCCGUUGGGUUGUAUUUAAGCUUGAAAGCUACUUAGUUGUAAGUGUGAGAUAUUUGAAGUACCUUAAUUGUGUAUUGAAGUUAAUUAAAGUAUUUCGAGCUCUUGAAUGAUGGAUUGUAGUGAGUCCUGGCGAGAGCUGGGCAGGCGUCCCGCGGAUACCUUUGGUUCGCCUUUGGGAGAAGUGGGGGCGUCACACUUGUGCCUAGCUAGCAAUGUAAUAGUUAGGGCCUUAAUCACCUUAUGUGUCUUGCAUGUCUAUGUGCUAUAUGUUUAAUCGUUUUCUUAUGGUUUUGGCAUUUAGAUAUUGCAUGCUAAGUGUUAUGUGCUAUGUGAUUGACAUGUCUACUCGCUUUCCAUAUCCUUGAAUGAAUGUGAUGGAUGAAUGUACGUUUCCGCUAGUCCAACGCUAGUGGAGGCGAAUUCAUAGAUAGGGCUAGUCCAAUGCUAAGACCCUUAGGGAUUUCCCCUCGUUUAGUACAUGUUUGCAUGUUCAUUACAUGUCAUGCAUUCUUUUUUAGUUUUAUCAUUUUGCAUGCCCCUCGAACCCCUUUUCCCUCCAUUUUAGGAUUUUUUGCAUUUCAUGCUAGCUAUAGGGUUCAUUUGCUUGAGAGUCCCCUUAAAUAUGGGAUAUAGACGAGUGUGGCUUUUUCUAAGCCUUAGCACGCUUGUAUUCCCUCUAUAAAAGGGCAAAUUGAGUCACGAUUUAGGUCUCCCCGUACCCAAUAUACAUGAAUUCCCUAGGUUCAUGCAUCCACUCUACCAUUUUCUACCUUCAUCACACUUUCAUUUUUUUCCUCCCAUUUCGCACACGUGCACCUUUUAUAUUUUCACUUGCACACGAACAUUUUUAUCAUCACUUGCACACAUGCACUUUAUAUUUAUCAUUUCACAUACCGUACCUUGCCCACUCACGUGCACAUUUUCAUUCACAUAUUUAUUGUCUUUUAUUAUUUUUUCAAACUCAUGUCCUCACAUUGCAUACAUGCAUUCCAUUCAUUUGCAUCCCACUCGCAUUAUUCGUGACUUCUUCAAAGGAUCGUUAUUGGGCUUCACAAUUAAUGUGAUUGGCACCACUCAACCUUUGAAGGGAAAUUUCCCUAGUACCCCUAGGUCUAGGGUUUGCAUUCAUGUAGUGCAUCCAAAUGUAAUAAAUUCUUUGAUUAAAACAAGAAAAUCUUUGAUUAAAUCAUGCAACUAGCCUUGGCUAGGUCAAAGGGGUGCCUUGGAUUUUAUCCUUGCCUUCCCUUUGUCAAAUGUGACUCCCGAACCUUUUUCUUUGGUUUACGUGGAUUAGGAGUCGUUUAAAAGGGGUUUCUUACUACUUUUUCCUAUUUUUCUUCAAAAUCCAUUUUUAGGUGACUUGGUACACCUUAACUCAUUACCAAGUGGCGACUCCGUAUUUUGUUUCAAAAAACCCUUUUUAAACUAUAAUUUUGGGUCAAAUCGUCGCAUUCUCAAACCCCCAUUUAGACCCAUUUUUUCUCACAAUUCAUUUUCCAAUCACAAAUUGAAUCAAAAAUACAUUUUUUUAAAACCAUUUAUUUUAUUUAUCAAAAAAAUGGGGCGCGACACCAUGUAAUUUUGCAAUCUCCUCUUGAACAUCUCUUGUUGAAGAUCUUCUUGAAACUUUUGAUGUGAGGAGUUAUAUCAUUGUCCACUUCCAUGAUUUCAUUACCCAUGAAGGAUGGGUUAUCCCCCACUUGAGAUGCUUUAAAAGCUAUGCCUCUCUUAUACAUUCUUGCAUUUUCUUCCUCUUGCACUUUGAAUUUCAGCUUUAAUUCAUAAGAGGUUAGGGUAUCCACAAGAGAUUCAAUGGACAUAGAAUUUAAAUCCUUUGCCUCUUCUAUAGCAUUUAUUUUGUUUUCCCAUUCUUUUGGCAAGGCAUUCAAAAUCUUUCUAUUUUUCUCACCCAAAGAAUAUUCUUUUCCAAGCAAUUUAAGAUCUUCAAUAAUGUCACAAAAUCUACUACACAUCUUAUCAACAUUUUCAAGAGGAUGCAUUUUGAAAAAUUCAUAUUGAGAAACAAGCAAAGAUUUCUUUUGUUCUUUAAUAUCUUGGUUACCUUCAUGAAAUACACACAAUUUAUCCCAAAUAUCUGUAGCUGAUUUACAACCUUUAAUCCUACUAGAUUCAUUUACAUCUAAUGCAUUGUACAAUAUACACAUGGCCUUGGCAUUCAAAGAAAGGUAUCUCUUGUCUUUUUCAUUCAAUUCUUGUCUAGUCUUUAAUCUACUCAAAUUGGUGGUAGAGUCAACUAUUCUAGCUUCAUAAGGACCAUCUUCUACCACAUACCAUAAUUCAAUAUAAACGGAUUGUAAGAAAAUCAUCAUUCUUUGUUUCCACAUGCUAAAAUGAGAACCAUUAAACAUAGGUGGUCUAUCAAUAGAUUGCCCUUCUAAAAAGGAAACUUUUAUGGUUGCCAUAAUCUUUACUCUAAGCGGUUAAGCUAGAUCAAAAGAGACCAAGCUCUGAUACCAGUUUUGAAGCCAUUUUUACUUCAUUUGAUUAGCAUCGCGAGGGAGGUAUAACUUCUUUUAUCUUUUUUGUCUCUCCUAUGUGCUCCAACGUGCUAAGUGAGAAUUGCAUGUCUACUUUGCUUUCCUUGCUUUUCCUUAAUACCUUUCAUUUGUUUCAUUUACUUUUGCUUUUUUAUUAAGUCUCUCUUUUAUUUAUUUAUGGGGUAUGUGUACACCUCUUGGCUUGUAAUAGAUAGGGCUUGGCAAGCAUUUUGUCCAUUUUUCCCCUUCCCCUUUUGUUUUAGUUAGCAAAUGUAAUAGGUUCAUUAGAUUGAUUGCUUGCUUUUGUUGCUACGUGUUAAUUUGCUUUAUUAGGUUCUUGCAUCUAGUCGAGCAUGCUAAGUGUUAUGUGCUACAUGUUUAUAGAUGAUUUGCAUGUCUACUUGCUUUCUAUAGUCGUGGAUGAAUGUAAUGGAUGAAUGGACGUCACCACACUAGUCCAAUGCUAGUUGUGGCCCCCUUUCCCGAAUGCACACUAGCCCAAUGCUAGUUGUAGCUCAUUGUUCCGAUUUCCACUAGUCCAACGCUAGUAGGAAUUCAUAGAUGGGCUAGUCCAACGCUAGACCCUUAGGGAUUCCCCUCGCUAGUUCAUAUUUGCAUGUUUCACUACAUUUCAUGCAUUUUUCUUAGUUUUUAGCAUUUGGCAUGCCCCUCCAACCUUUUCCCCCUCAUUUUAGGCUUUUGCAUUCUCAUGCUAGUUAUAGGGUCCAUUUGCUUGAGAGUUCCCUUUCGAUAAGGGAAACGAGCGAGUGUGGCUACCCAAUAGCCUUAGCACGCUAGUUUUUCCUUCCAAUCCAUGGGAAAAUCAAAGUCGUAAAGUUAGGAGUCCUUCCCGUGCCCGACCUGAUGCAUUCCCUUAAGGUCAUACACUUGCAUUCUUUUUAUACCACAUCCACACUCUUUUAGCCACAUUUUCUCACUAUUUAGAGUUUUUCUCAAUCUACACUUUCUCACCACUUUCCUCCUAUCACUUAUUUAUUUUUCUAUCUCACAAGUGGCACCCAAUUGCACUUAUAUGUAUCUACUAUCCUAUUUUCAUUCAUUUGCACACAAAAACACCUUUAUUUUCUCACACUUGCACACUUGCACUUAAGUCCUCACUUGCACUAAUCACGACUUCCUUGAGAGCUUUCCUUAUUGGCCACCACAAUUCAUGUGGUUGGGACCUAAAAGCCUCAUGAGAAACAUUUUAGAUUUAGGAUUGCAUUUUUUUUUCAUACCCAUUAGUCAUAUCCAACAUGCGAAACAUACUUUGGGUAGAAGAAUUAGGAAAAGUGGGGCUAAAUCACGCAACUAGCUCUUGCUAGGGUAAGGGAGUGCCUUAGGCUUUGCCUUUGCCUUCUCCCUUACCAAAUGUAACCCCGAUCCCUUUCUUUGGUUACGUAGACCUAAAAGUUCUUGAAAAGGGCUUUGUUUACUUUGCUUCCAAAAAAUCACUUUUUUGGGUGACUUGGUACACCCUAACUCUAUACCAAGUGGCGACUCCAUUUUUCAUUCAAAACCCUUUUUGAACUUCGUUUGGCCAAAUCGUCGCAUCUUCAAGUCCCAUGGCCUUCUAUUUUCAUUUUACACACGUUCACAUACAUAUUCCACACACUUUCACACUACACUCAUCAAAAAGUGGGGCGCGACAGUUGGCGACUCCACUGGGGACUUCCUAAGUGGGUCCAAGCAUUCGAUUUAGCUAUUCUUUUCCUUUUUCUACCCUUUUUAUGUAUGGCAUUUGGAUAUUAGGGUUGCAUUUUCCAUUUUAGGACUUUUUGCCACGCGCGCGCGUAUCAAGCUAUUCCCUCACUCACGUAUGUAUGAUUGGUUUGAUUGGAUGUAUGUUGUACUUGUUUUAUCUCGCGCUUUGCAUUGCAUUUGGGUGGGGGAGAUCACCUUAGAGCCUCACGUUGGUUCUCGAUCCCUCCCCUCCAAACGAGCACUAGCAUACGUGCAUAUGCUUUAUUUUUAUCCCUCAUUUAUUUUUCUUUUAGUGGCUUGUCACGCCACUCCACCCUAUUGGGAUUAGGUGACCCACUUGGACAUGUGAUCGUGACACGACGUGUGCGUAGCAUGAUCCGAGGAGUCACUCAAUCUUCCGCUUUAAACUUUGGGUUAAUAGCCUUUAGUUUUUAGUCGAAGGUUGAGGAUUUCUUUAGAUUCACCUGGACAUGUAGCCGUGACACGACGUGUGCGUAGCAAUGUCUGGGAAAUCGCUCGAGCCACCGACAAAGAACCUUGGAAUUGAUGACCCUUGGUUUCUAAGUCUGAAGGCUCGGGGACCUGAGCUUAUCGAGUCUAGAUGCACUAGCGAACCCCAACCUCAUGCUUCCAUAUUAGAAUUGCCUAGGGUAGAGUCGACCUUACACUAAAUUAGGAAACACUAUUCACGAGGGGAGGGAUCCAGCCCCCUUCCUUGUAUAUCUUUGUUGCUUUUUAUAUUAUCUAAAUUGUCCAACGUGUUAUGUGGUUAUGUGUUGAACUAACUUUCCUUGUCUCUUGUUUUUUGCAUUCACAAACGUUAGGAAAUAAGAGGUCUGGCACGAUCCUCUUUUAGUGACCUACCCACUAGAUAACUCACAUGUUUAAAUUUCAGUCAUUACACUUAAUUUUCAAUAAGUACAUUUCAUUUUUAGACCUUUUCCCCUCGAUGCAUUAUUUAUGUCCUUUAGGCCAUAUUUGUCACAUAUUUACUGCUUUAAUAAACUGGCAUCAUGCAUAAACCCUAGAAAGGGAAUGCCAUUUAGGGGAUCCCGUGUUAGGAAUAAACCACCUUGUGUCUCGGAUACUUAAUCCAAGGAGACUUGCACGUUUACAUUUUGUACCAUCCAAAGGGGUAGUGCACAAGGUAAGGUAGGAUCUGAUCAUUUUCAUAGAGCGAUUUUUGGAAUUUGAGCAUCUAAUAAUCAUGUUUUUGGCCAUUUUAUCAAAAAUUGGUAAAAAUCCCUUGCGUAAAGGACAUUAAUUUGAAAAAAUUCACAAAUAAUUCCUCACUAUUGAGACAAUAAGUGAAUUGAGCCAAAAUUUGAUUUUUAGAAGGCUCAUAGACUAAUGCAUCUCAAUAAUUUUGAAUUCACCAAUGGUUGGACAAUUCAAUCGAUCCAUUUUGCCAAUUCAUUCACUUUAAGGCAAUUCGAGCAAUUUUGAAUAAAUCAUCAAUUUCAUUCAAUUCUUUUGACUAAUUUGCCUUUUUUAGGGCAAUCAAGUCAUUCUUUUAAUAAAUCAUCGAUUUCAUUCAAAUCAUUUGGCCAGCUUACCCUUUUUAGGGUGAUCUAGUCAAUUUCGAAUAAAUUAUCAAAUUCCCAUUCAAUGCGUUUGAUCAGUUACCCUUUUUUAGGGUGAUCCGGUCGAUUUUGAAUAAAAUUCUCAAUCUCAUUCAAUUCAUUUGAUCAAGUUCCUUUUUUAGGAUGAUCCGAUCCAUUUUGAAUAAAAUUUUCAAUUUCAUUCGAUUAAGUUCCUUUUUUUAGGAUGAUUCGGUCAAUUUUGAGUAAGCUUUUAAAUUUCACUCAGUUCAUUUGACCCGUUUCCCUUUUUAGGGUAAUCCGGUCGAUUUUAAAUAAAUUGUCAAUUUCAUUCAACCCAUUCGACCAAUUAGGGUUUCAAUGCCGAAUUUCAAAUUGGGAAACUUAGUCGAUUUUUGAGAAAACCAUCCAUUGCAUCCAGCCAUUUGAUCAGUUGGGGUUUUGACCCGUGCUUCACUGAAAAAAUUUGGUCAACGAAUUCCAAUCUCUUCGAUAGGAAGUUCGUCAAGGUCAAACCCGUGCGUUUUUGCAAAUUCUUGUAUCGAUCAAAAGUGAUCAAUCCAUUCGGACGUUGACCUCAUUUUGACAAGUAUCUCUCGUCACUCCAAUUGACCAAAUUUUUCAAAAUUAUUUUUCACUCAACGAUUUGAUCAGAUCCAUCAGGUAUGGUAUAGUGCCUACCCUAGAGGAUUGCAUUUUCA